rnacentral:rRNA from 1 species
GAUAUUUUGAACCGCAUGGUUCAAAAGUGAAAGACGGUCUUGCUGUCACUUAUAGAUGGAUCCGCGCUGCAUUAGCUAGUUGGUAAGGUAACGGCUUACCAAGGCAACGAUGCAUAGCCGACCUGAGAGGGUGAUCGGCCACACUGGAACUGAGACACGGUCCAGACUCCUACGGGAGGCAGCAGUAGGGAAUCUUCCGCAAUGGGCGAAAGCCUGACGGAGCAACGCCGCGUGAGUGAUGAAGGUCUUCGGAUCGUAAAACUCUGUUAUUAGGGAAGAACAUAUGUGUAAGUAACUGUGCACAUCUUGACGGUACCUAAUCAGAAAGCCACGGCUAACUACGUGCCAGCAGCCGCGGUAAUACGUAGGUGGCAAGCGUUAUCCGGAAUUAUUGGGCGUAAAGCGCGCGUAGGCGGUUUUUUAAGUCUGAUGUGAAAGCCCACGGCUCAACCGUGGAGGGUCAUUGGAAACUGGAAAACUUGAGUGCAGAAGAGGAAAGUGGAAUUCCAUGUGUAGCGGUGAAAUGCGCAGAGAUAUGGAGGAACACCAGUGGCGAAGGCGACUUUCUGGUCUGUAACUGACGCUGAUGUGCGAAAGCGUGGGGAUCAAACAGGAUUAGAUACCCUGGUAGUCCACGCCGUAAACGAUGAGUGCUAAGUGUUAGGGGGUUUCCGCCCCUUAGUGCUGCAGCUAACGCAUUAAGCACUCCGCCUGGGGAGUACGACCGCAAGGUUGAAACUCAAAGGAAUUGACGGGGACCCGCACAAGCGGUGGAGCAUGUGGUUUAAUUCGAAGCAACGCGAAGAACCUUACCAAAUCUUGACAUCCUUUGACAACUCUAGAGAUAGAGCCUUCCCCUUCGGGGGACAAAGUGACAGGUGGUGCAUGGUUGUCGUCAGCUCGUGUCGUGAGAUGUUGGGUUAAGUCCCGCAACGAGCGCAACCCUUAAGCUUAGUUGCCAUCAUUAAGUUGGGCACUCUAAGUUGACUGCCGGUGACAAACCGGAGGAAGGUGGGGAUGACGUCAAAUCAUCAUGCCCCUUAUGAUUUGGGCUACACACGUGCUACAAUGGACAAUACAAAGGGCAGCGAAACCGCGAGGUCAAGCAAAUCCCAUAAAGUUGUUCUCAGUUCGGAUUGUAGUCUGCAACUCGACUACAUGAAGCUGGAAUCGCUAGUAAUCGUAGAUCAGCAUGCUACGGUGAAUACGUUCCCGGGUCUUGUACACACCGCCCGUCACACCACGAGAGUUUGUAACACCCGAAGCCGGUGGAGUAACCUUUUAGGAGCUAGCCGUCGAAGGUGGGACAAAUGAUUGGGGUGAAGUCGUAACAAGGUAGCCGUAUCGGAAGGUGCGGCUGGAUCACCU